UACAGAGGUCUCGAGCGUUAGGCGGAAUCACUGGGCUUAAAGCGGGUGUAGGCGGAUCGGUAAGAACCUUGGGAAAUCCCACAGCUUAACUGUGGAACUGCUUGGUAUACUGCCAGUCUUGAGCCAGCUAGGGGCUACCGGAACAAAUGGUGGAGCGGUGAAAUGCGUAGAUAUCAUUUGGAACGCCAAUGGUGAAAACAGGUAGCUGGGGCUGUGCUGACGCUGAGACACGAAAGCCAGGGGAGCAAACGGG
rnacentral:rRNA from 1 species